CUCAAAGAUUAAGCCAUGCAUGUCUAUGCACAAGCCGAAUAUGGUGAAGCCGCGAAUGGCUCAUUACAACAGCCACUGUUUACUUGAUCUUGAUUAUCCUACUUGGAUAACUGUGGUAAUUCUAGAGCUAAUACACGCAAUCAAGCUCCGACCUUACGGGGCGAGCGCAUUUAUUAGACCAAAACCAAUCGGGCUUCGGCCUGAACGGUGGUGACUCUGAAUAACUGAGCUGAUCGCAUGGUCUUUGUACCGGCGACGCAUCUUUCAAGUGUCUGCCUUAUCAACUUUCGAUGGUAGUUUAUGUGCCUACCAUGGUUGUUACGGGUAACGGAGAAUAAGGGUUCGACUCCGGAGAGGGAGCCUGAGAAACGGCUACCACAUCCAAGGAAGGCAGCAGGCGCGCAAAUUACCCACUCUCGGCACGAGGAGGUAGUGACGAAAAAUAACGAGGCGGUUCUCUAAGAGGCCCGCUAUCGGAAUGGGUACAAUUUAAACCCUUUAACGAGGACCUAUGAGAGGGCAAGUCUGGUGCCAGCAGCCGCGGUAAUUCCAGCUCUCAAGGUGUAUAUCGCCAUUGCUGCGGUUAAAAAGCUCGUAGUUGGAUCUGCGCCUUCGGACUCGGUCCGCCCAACGGGUGUGAACUGGGAUCCAAGGCUUAUACUGCUGGUUUUCCCUUGAUGCUCUUUACUGGGUGUCUUGGGUGGCUAGCGAGUUUACUUUGAAAAAAUUAGAGUGCUUAACACAGGCUAUCGCCUGAAUACUUGUGCAUGGAAUAAUAGAAUAAGACCACGGCUCUAUUUUAUUGGUUUUCGGAACUGUGAUAAUGGUUAAGAGGGACAGACGGGGGCAUUCGUAUCGCUGCGUGAGAGGUGAAAUUCUUGGACCGCAGCGAGACGCCCUACUGCGAAAGCAUUUGCCAAGAAUGUCUUCGUUAAUCAAGAACGAAAGUCAGAGGUUCGAAGGCGAUCAGAUACCGCCCUAGUUCUGACCGUAAACGAUGCCAACUAGCGAUCCGCCGGUGGUCACUGUCGGCCUCGGCGGGAAGCUUGGAAGUAUGGUUGCAAAGCUGAAACUUAAAGGAAUUGACGGAAGGGCACCACCAGGAGUGGAGCCUGCGGCUUAAUUUGACUCAACACGGGAAAACUCACCCGGCCCGGACACUGUAAGGAUUGACAGAAUGAGAGCUCUUUCUUGAUUCGGUGGUUGGUGGUGCAUGGCCGUUUAACGGCGUUCAGCCGUAUGAAAAGACUAGCAUUCGUAUCGUUGCGCGAGAGGUGAAACUCAAAGACCGUAGCGGGACGUCUGACUGUCGAUGAAGAUACUUCUUAGAAGGAUUAAUGGCGUUCAGCCGUAUGAAAAGGAGCAAUAACAGGUCUGUGAUGCCCUUAGAUGUCCGGGGCUGCACGCGCGCUACACUGGAGGAAUCAGCGUGCAUACAGCCAUUGUCGAAAGGCAUUGGUAAACCGAUGAAAAUCCUCCGUGAUCGGGAUCGGGAAUUGCAAUUAUUUCCCUUGAACGAGGAAUUCCCAGUAAGUGUGGGUCAUAAGCUCGCGCUGAUUACGUCCCUGCCCUUUGUACACACCGCCCGUCGCUACCCGGGACUGAGCCGUUUCGAGAAGUGCGGGGACUGCACCUGGUCGGCGUACUCGGCUGUCGGACCUAGCUGCGAGAACCGCAUCUGACUCMCAGUGGCCUGAGACCGGGC
rnacentral:rRNA from 1 species